rnacentral:rRNA from 1 species
CGAACGGCGGAGUGGGGUCAUUAAAUCAGUUAUCGUUUAUUUGAUAGUACCUUACUACAUGGAUACCUGUGGUAAUUCUAGAGCUAAUACAUGCUAAAAACCCCGACUUCAGGAAGGGGUGUAUUUAUUAGAUAAAAAACCAACGCCCUUCGGGGCUCCUUGGUGAAUCAUAAUAACUUAACGAAUCGCAUGGCCUUGCGCCGGCGAUGGUUCAUUCAAAUUUCUGCCCUAUCAACUUUCGAUGGUAGGAUAGUGGCCUACCAUGGUGGCAACGGGUAACGGGGAAUUAGGGUUCGAUUCCGGAGAGGGAGCCUGAGAAACGGCUACCACAUCCAAGGAAGGCAGCAGGCGCGCAAAUUACCCAAUCCCGAUACGGGGAGGUAGUGACAAUAAAUACUGAUACGGGGCUCUUUUGGGUCUCGUAAUUGGAAUGAGAACAAUUUAAAUCCCUUAACGAGGAACAAUUGGAGGGCAAGUCUGGUGCCAGCAGCCGCGGUAAUUCCAGCUCCAAUAGCGUAUAUUAAAGUUGUUGCAGUUAAAAAGCUCGUAGUUGAACCUUGGGCCUGGCUGGCCGGUCCGCCUCACCGCGAGUACUGGUCCGGCUGGGCCUUUCCUUCUGGGGAACCUCAUGGCCUUCACUGGCUGUGGGGGGAACCAGGA